rnacentral:lncRNA from 1 species
CUCUGCCUGGCUGCCCAGUCUGGAAAGUGAGGAGCGUCUCCGCCCGGCCGCCAUCCCAUCUAGGAAGUGAGGAGCACCUCUUCCCAGCCGCCAUCACAUCUAGGAAGUGAGGAGCGUCUCUGCCCGGCCGCCCAUAGUCUGAGAUGUGGGGAGCGCCUCUGCCCCGCCGCCCCAUCUGGGAUGUGAGGAGCGUCUCUGCCCGGCCGCCC